UACGUAGGGUGCAAGCGUUGUCCGGAAUUAUUGGGCGUAAAGAGCUUGUAGGCGGUUUGUCGCGUCUGCUGUGAAAUUUCGGGGCUCAACCCCGAACUUGCAGUGGGUACGGGCAGACUAGAGUGUGGUAGGGGAGAUUGGAAUUCCUGGUGUAGCGGUGGAAUGCGCAGAUACCAGGAGGAACACCAAUGGCGAAGGCAGAUCUCUGGGCCGUAACUGACGCUGAGGAGCGAAAGCAUGGGGAGCGAACAGG
rnacentral:rRNA from 1 species